GCAUGCAGCUGCGAGCACAGAGCGAACUAUUCUUUCACCUUUUACUAAAGAAUACCGUGUGCUUGUUGCAUUCAGCGGCAUACGCAUAUUUUUGGAGGGUUUUCCCAUGAAUGAU
rnacentral:snRNA from 1 species